UCCAGCCACUGUUUUGGGAUUAUCAUCGAUGCUCCCUGGUUUUCACGGUGCAUUGUGGGACUUUUUAGGAAGCGACCGUUUCAGUGCCCUGGAAGGAUUCUGCGACUGAGACAGCCCUUAAAAUGGCUGACUCCCUGGUAAGUGCCCUGACUACUGAACUAGGGAGCUGAUUGAGACACACGUCACGUUUCUGCAAGCAAGUGUCUUCUAAGACGAGUCCAGCUCUUCAUACUUCUCUUUUCUCCAGUGCGGGCGGACAGCAUAGCAGUGGGGUCGAGUCCUCUCUUUCUUUUGAUUAUUUUUCUUUUUUGCUUUAUUUAAGCAAAGCUGUAAAAGGCUGUUUUCAUGGCCGGUAACGGUGCGCUUUUGAGUGCUGAAUUGUUGUUCUCACAGCUGGUGAGAGCAGUGUCUACAAAGAGAGGAGAGCACACGACAGGCUGCACACAAUCCCUGUCUGUGUUGCCGCGGCCGUUCCCCUGCGUACUUCAGCACUUUUAAAGAGCAAGUCCCUGAAAGAGCUCACACAAGUAGAGCUUGUGUCUUUUUAAAUAUGACAUUCUACUUGUGUGUUUCUGGAUGCGGUCGUUACCUGGCACCGAGGGAUGGUCACGAUCGCUGCAUCAUGUGUCUGGUCUUAAAGCACGCUGAGGCAGCAUUUGUGGAUGAGUCAUGUACCCAUUGUGGGAAGAUGACCAUCUCAGAGUUGCGAUCGAGACUCCAGUUCCUGCAAAGGGCCGGAGUCCCAGUGUCGCUGCCUCAUUCCAAUCCUCCUCAGGGUGGAAUCCUCCACUGUGUUCCGAGCAAUCGCGGUUGGACGGUUGGUAUCUCGGGGUGGCGCGUGCUGGUUCUCAGCCACCCACCCCGGUUCCUUUCUUCCCGGAGGUGCAUGAAGAACUCAUUGGUACAUGGAUGGCACCUUUUACUGCCUGAAACCGUUCCGGUGGGUCCUCCUCCCUCACCACCCUUGAUGGCGGUGCAGCGAAGGGUUAUAUGCGCAUCCCCCCCCGGUGGAACGGGCCAUUGCUAUGCAACUGUGCCCUAACUCCCCCUGGUGGGGGGAGCCGUCUCUCCCUUCCCAGGCCUGUAAGCACUCGUCGGAUCUUACAGGCAGGGCUUACCAGGCCCGCGGGGAAGCCGCUUCUGCCUUACAUGCUAUGGCGUUGUUGCAGGUCCAUCAGGCCAAGGCACUUCAGGACCUCGCGCUUCGUACGACGAAGGUUACGCCGCGGUCGGUGAGUCGUGUGAUGUCCACUUUGGUGGUCCAGGAAUGCCAUCUCUGGCUGUGUCUGGCCGACAUGAGGGAUACUGACAAAGUCAGGUUUCUUAAUUCCCCUGUGUCCCAGACCGACCUCUUCGGCCGGUUGUAUAUUGUAUAUUAUCUUUGGGCAAAGUUCUCGGCUGUACAGAAGCAGUCUGAGGCCAUCAGCCACAUCCUGCCACAGCGGUCAGCUGCUGUGAUCACCCAUCCACUGCGUCCACCCAUCCGCUGCCGGCAGCACCUCAGCCUGCUCGUCGCCGAGGGCGCACCCCUGCGGCUGACCCCGCUCCCGCGCCACAGCAGCAGCCUCCAUCCAAGUGGCGCCGUGGAGCCGGUCGCAAGCGGGGUGCCCAGCCCGUCGAGGCUCCCGCCAAGAAGGGCGGUAAAGCCGAGAGCAAGAGGCCCUAGGAGGGCAACCCGGAGAUGGAUGGGACUGCUCUUCAGGAGAUGGUGACCGCACCACUCCUUCCCCCGGAGGAGGGCUGGGUGGUAAAUCCUUUGUUUCGUUUUGUUUCUGUUCCGCAUGGUACCCAAAUUUUCAAAAAAGAGCAGUUUCCUUCAUCUCCGGGUCCAAAAAGGGCUUGGAGAGUAGUGGGAGGAGAAAAAUCUCUCCACUCUCAUCCCCCUCUUCAGGCUUCUUCUGGAGCAUAUGCAUUGCCAUGGCUGGUUUUCGAACAAAAAAACAGAAAAUAAAAAACAGAAAACAACUCCGUCACGGCCACCUUUUUGUUUUCUCACUUAAGUCAGCUUUGUUGUCUGGCAGACUGACUUGGGUGGCCUUUCCAUCCCUUCACUUAAGUCUUAUUACGGCUGAUAUUAUAGGGAUGUUCAGUAGCGUGUUUAUCCACCACACAAAGCACGCAAUUGCAUGGGGCCCCACGGGCUUGGGGGGCCCUCGCGAUUUCUCCCCCGGGAACGCAAUCGCGGGGCCCCCUCCCGGACAUUAAUUUGUUUUGCUUGUUUUUUGCGCGCGUGCAGUGUGAUUUUUCUAUCGAAUGCUGAAUUCGGAAAUGAUUAGCUACUUUGGUACAUAAAGUGGCUGGCUGGCAGCUGGACAGAAUAGUCUGGUGCUCCCGAUGGACGGGUUAUAGAAAUUAUAGAAAAUCAUAGGUUCAGGUGGGUGGCGGAUGGUGAUUUAAUUUUAACAGGGGGGUGACGUUAGAGCUCAUCCGCACAUCACUAAUGCCAACUGGCGCCCUCUGCAGAUCAAGAAAAUCCAGUAAACAAUUAUAUUUACUAGGGGUGGGAGAAAAAAACGAUGCAUCAUGAAGCCACAUGAAGGGGGCGAAACAUCGUAUGGCAGUUUCCCAAGUCAGGUCGUCUUCAAUUCGUGAUUUUGUGGGACCUUCAUCACUUGAAAGAACAGCCUGCCAACACAUCAGGAAAGUUGGAUAUUGGGUGCGUAACAAUGACUCCUGGUGUGCUGAAAUACUAUGGACUCUGAAGAGAGCGUGACAUCACAUUACUCAAUGAAAAGUGCUGAGGACAAUUUGUUUCCCGAUAGUGCAAUUGCAAAAUCCUUCACCUGUAGUGAAAAAAAGACCUCCUACCUUGUGAAUCAUGGCCUUGCACCCUACAUUAAGAACAGUCUGUUGGACAAAGUGGAAAAACAACAGUGGCUUUGUUUUACUGUUUGACGAGUCACUCAACAAAAAGCUUCAGUUGAAACAAAUGGAUGUUCAUGUAAGGUUCUUAGAUUUGGUUACCAACAGAGUAACUAUCCACUACCUUGAUUCUGCCUUCCUGGGGCAUGGAACAGCAGAAUGUUGCCUGUCACACUUCACUUCAUUGACAGACUUAAUCUGUCUGAUUUAUUGUAAGUCUGCAUGGAUGGCCCCAAUGUCAACCUAAAAUUUUACAAGAAUUUCAAAACAAGAGUCCUGUCUGAAGUUACAGGAGUUGCUUGAUGUGGGGACAUGUUCUCUGCACAAUGUACACAAUUCAUUCAGACAUGCAAUUCAUGCAACUGGGUGGGAUAUUGGGGACAUACUCAGUGCCUUCCAUACUCAGAUUUUGUCAGUAUCACAGGAUCAACAAUCUUUCCAAAGAAGUUCUGUCCCCAUCAGUGGGUUGAAAAUGUUGCCACACGAGCAUUGGAAGUAAUCCCUCAUUUGAUAAAAUUUGUAAAAACAGUUGAGGGGGACAAGCGGUUCACUACACCCAAAUGCAAGAAAUUUUUAGCAGUGAAAGCAGCAUGUAAUGAUAAACUCUUACCAGCCAAGCUACAUUUUUUCAUUUUUGUAGCUAAACAUGUGCAGUCCUAUCUGCAGAAGUACCAGACAGACAGUCCUAUGGUCCCUUUCUUGACAAAAGAUUGGACAGAGAUGGUUUGUAAUAUUAUGUCCACAGUCCUGAAACCCAGCGUGAUUGAAUCUAUGAAAGACCCUGUCACAAAUGCAAAAUACACAGUCACAGAUGAAGACACACUAAGCACGUCAAAAGUAGAUGUGGGUUUUUUAACUGCCAGGGCUUUGAAACUCCAAGCCGGAAAGGUUGGUAAAAGGAGUUUUUGGGAAUUUUCCUCAGAUGCCAAGAAAUGCCAGAUUGAGCUACUGAAAUGACUUCUGGAUAAAUCACCUGUCCAGUCCAGCUUUGUACCACAGACUUCCUGUCUUAACCCUCAGUUAGUGGAAAACAGUCUUGAAGUGUGUGUAAAAAAGUUUACAAGACUUCUGAAUCACUUGUUGGAUCUGAAAAGAUGCACAGAGCCCAAAUGUGAAGAUGAUCUCAGGCAAUACAAAGCUUUUGUUGACAUACCUGCAAAUUCGAAAGUGGUGAAAAAGGUGAUAUGUUAACAAAGUAAAUAGUAAAUAAACAUUUAUUGACACUAGGGCUGGGCAUUGAUACAAAUUUCACAAUUGGAUUCGAUAUUGAUUCAGAAGCUUGCGAUUUGAUUUUGAUUUGAUUACCUUCAAUUCAAUAAUGAUUAAUUUGGGGCCUAUCAGGUACAGUACAUGACAAAUUUCCUCAAAGAAAAAAAUCUCUCAACUAAUUCUGUAAACUAUACAGGGAACCACAGCUGGUACAUCAUUAUAAUAUUAAAUAUUAAAAUGUAUUGAUUUGUAAGCUACUUAAAUUACACAUAAAGACAUUUUUAUAAUAACAUUAUAAUAAAUUUUUUAAUGACAUAA